ACUUCGUUCCACAGCGGCAACAACAAAAGAAAAAAUCCCGUUCCGCAACAAAAACAACCCCUGUCCUUUCUCUUCCGCCUCUCAUUUCCUUCUUUUAUUUCCCCGAUUCUUCCCGUCGUCGCCUUCGACUAAUUGAUUUCACGUUCCGGCCCGGUUUCUAGGGCUUCGACUAGUGGGAUCAGAGGAGACCGGCAUGGACUGGGGACGACGUGAAGGUGGAGGACCCGUACUCUUCCCCGCGCCCCAUUCGGAAUUCUUCUCCCGAUUCACCUUCCCCAGAUCUUACGCCAAAUGGAGCAGCCCAAUCAAGUGCAAUCUCUACUACUUUGCAGUUACUUUUGAUGAGAAAAUGAAAAGGACUGUCAAACGCUUUUCUCCUCAUUAGCUGCAAAGUUGAGGCCACCAAUAGCGGGAGCUCUCGGUCUGGCUUUGACACUAUUUAUCUGUAUUGUGGGUGUCAACUAGCUAAUGGAACAUAUAUACAUAGACCUGUUCUUCGUGGGCGACCGUCUACAAUAAGAGCAAUCCGUAUUUGUGGACAGCCUUGAUGGAUGUUUGUCUUGAUUUUCUCAGCUGCUAGUUGCAUCCUCUGGUUGACCACCUCCAAUCUGGUUGCUGUGCUUUGGGCACUCGUCGACGGACUGCUUGCAACUACACUUAACGCAACCUUCCAAAUGCCUAACCUGAAGGCAUGGCUUAACACAUGAUGUGAGGAACUUGGUGCAAUAUGGCGCAACUAUAGUGUGUUACAACCACAGAGGUCGAUAAGGAAAAUCCAGAGAGCACUUACCUGAUGAAGGAUCAUCGGUUUGUUAGCGAAAUCAACAAGUGGCUUUGGGAAACUGAGUGUCAAAGGUCGGAGGCGGGUGCCAAAUCCUCCAACAAGAAUGAGCGCCUUCAUGGUGUAUCCCUUCCUUUUUUUCCCCUGUUGAUAAGAUAUCAAGAUCAUAGAACUGGUGUCGAUAAUGCAUGGCAGAAAAUUUCUCAAAUGCUAAAGAAGAUGCACAAGGAUAUGGAAAAAAGCGAAAAGAAUUAAAGAUGUGGAAAGAACUCGGAAGGUUAUGCGGGUGGCAUUCGAGGCGUAAAAAGUGG